rnacentral:rRNA from 1 species
CGCGAAAGCCCCCUUCGGGGGGCAAGUAGAGUGGCGCACGGGUGAGUAACACGUAGGUAAUCUACCUUUGGAUGGGGAAUAACCACCGGAAACGGUGGCUAAUACCGCAUAAUGCAGCGGCACCUAAUGGUGACAGUUGUUAAAGCGGGGGAUCGCAAGACCUCGCGUCUGAAGAGGAGCCUGCGGCAGAUUAGCUAGUUGGUAAGGUAAAGGCUUACCAAGGCGAUGAUCUGUAGCCGGCCUGAGAGGGCGGUCGGCCACACUGACACUGACAUACGGGUCAGACUCCUACGGGAGGCAGCAGUCGGGAAUUUUGGGCAAUGGGCGAAAGCCUGACCCAGCAACGCCGCGUGAAGGAUGAAAUCCCUCGGGAUGUAAACUUCGCAAGAACGGGAAGAAUAAGUAAGAGCUAACAUCUCUUAUGAUGACGGUACUGUUUGUAAGCUCCGGCUAACUCCGUGCCAGCAGCCGCGGUAAUACGGGGGGAGCAAGCGUUGUUCGGAUUUACUGGGCGUAAAGGGCGCGUAGGCGGCCACCGCAAGUCGACUGUGAAAUCUCCGGGCUUAACUCGGAAAGGUCAGCCGAUACUGCGGGGCUAGAGUGCAGAAGGGGCAACUGGAAUUCUCGGUGUAGCGGUGAAAUGCGUAGAUUUCGAGAGGAACACCUGCGGCGAAGGCGGGUUGCUGGGCUGACACUGACGCUGAGGCGCGAAAGCUAGGGGAGCGAACGGGAU